AGCGAACGCUGGCGGCGUGCUUAACACAUGCAAGUCGAACGUGAAAGGGGGCAACCCCGAGUAAAGUGGAGUACUGGUGAGUAACGCGUAGGUAAUCUACCCCAGAGUCUGGAAUAACCUGCAGAAAGGCGGGCUAAUACUGGAUAGAGCGAGGGAACUCGUAGAGAGUCUUUCGGGAAAGGGAGCCCGCAAGGGCCCUUGCUCUGGGAUGAGCCUGCGUCCCAUUAGCUAGUUGGUGAGGUAACGGCUCACCAAGGCAGUGAUGGGUAGCUGGUCUGAGAGGAUGAUCAGCCACACUGGAACUGAAACACGGUCCAGACUCCUACGGGAGGCAGCAGUGGGGAAUCUUGCGCAAUGGACGAAAGUCUGACGCAGCCACGCCGCGUGAGUGAAGAAGGCCUUCAGGUUGUAAAGCUCUGUCGCCCGGGACGAAAAGCCGGUGGGUUAACAGCCCAUUGGUCUGACGGUACCGGGAAAGGAAGCACCGGCUAACUCCGUGCCAGCCGCCGCGGUAA
rnacentral:rRNA from 1 species